AAUACAGAACAGAGUAAGGCAUGCUUUGCUGUGGUGCAGACCUUAACCUGCUGUCUCUGGGAAAACUAAUGUUAAGGGGAUUGCUGUACUUGUGCACACUGUACGAUUGCAAAAGAAGAGCUAUAAAAGCUUUCUUCAAUUAAAAAAAAAAAAAAAAAAAAAGUCCAUAAUUUUGAGAUUGCUUCUUUGUUAUUCUCUUCAUUUCAAAUUUGCUUUGAAAUCAGACUCUUUGCCUUCUAAUGCACAACACAAUCAACUGACAACGCUAUCAUUCCCUUAUGUAUUUUUUUGCCUUUACUUACAUUUUUAAAAUUCUCAUGUUGAUUCCUAAAAAAAAUUGUAAUAAAAGCAAAUGAAUAGAAAAUUAACUCAUGUUAAAAUUCCAUAGGCCUUUAUGGACCAGUCUUCUGCUACUCCUCAACCUUAAAGCUCAAGUCUUCCCAAUAAACUGUCUUUCCCAGUGACUACUUUUACAUCCUUUGUUCUUGUGCUAUUACUUCAGAAUGUGCUAAGGUCUAGCAAUUGAGUUUUUUGUUUGUUUGUUUGUUUUUUAAAUAAAUAAUCUGACCCAAAAAUCUUUCCAGCUAAAAAGACUCCUUUUGCCAUUGGACCUUCAUUUAUGUCACAUGCAAACUCAAUAAUCAUUCAGUAUUUCCAGUAUUCUCCUGUGAGUGUUUGUGUGUUGAGACAUAACAGUUUCUUCCUUUAGAUUCUCCUACAGUUGGUGGUACCAGUUAGAUUCUGUAAAAGCUACAGGACCUACUUGGUAAAACGGUGGCACUAUUUAACAGUGUAAAGCGGUGAACAGGUGUUGAUCAAAUAGGAUUCAGCUCUUUACUUAAGCUUAACCCUCCCUAAAUGCAUAAGAAACCCAGCUAUUCAGGGACAUCCAGUCCUUCACUAAAUAAAGCUACUUGUUACCACGCAUUACAGGCAAUUAACACUUCAUUACCUAUUACAGCCCUCGAUGUUAUUUCUGUAUUGCUAACUACAAAGCAGUUGACAAAAGGAAGACAAGAUGUAAAGCAAGAUCACAGAAGACUGCACCAUCAAACAAGGCUGUACAGUUUUUAA
rnacentral:lncRNA from 1 species